rnacentral:rRNA from 1 species
AGGGUUCGAUUCUGGCUCAGGAUGAACGCUAGCGACAGGCUUAACACAUGCAAGUCGAGGGGCAGCACGGGAGUAGCAAUACUUGGUGGCGACCGGCGCACGGGUGAGUAACGCGUAUGCAACCUACCUAUCAGAGGGGAAUAACCCGGCGAAAGUCGGACUAAUACCGCAUAAAACAGGGGCACCGCAUGGUGAUAUUUGUUAAAGAAAUUCGCUGAUAGAUGGGCAUGCGUUCCAUUAGGUAGUUGGUGAGGUAACGGCUCACCAAGCCGACGAUGGAUAGGGGAACUGAGAGGUUGGUCCCCCACACUGGUACUGAGACACGGACCAGACUCCUACGGGAGGCAGCAGUGAGGAAUAUUGGUCAAUGGGCGGGGGCCUGAACCAGCCAAGUCGCGUGAAGGAAGAAGGAUCUAUGGUUCGUAAACUUCUUUUGCAGGGGAAUAAAGUGCAGGACGUGUCCUGUUUUGUAUGUACCCUGAGAAUAAGGAUCGGCUAACUCCGUGCCAGCCGCGGC